GCUUUGGCGCUUUAGCUGUAUG
rnacentral:miRNA from 22 species